AGGAACGCAGCCCGCUUUCUCUCUAUGGUUUGGACGCCGGCGGGGAGCUCGCAAAGCCUGCCGGGACAGUGGCGUUUCCGGUUGUGGCUGUGGCGGGACUGUUUUGAAGCUGAACUCCGGGGCGAAAGCAUGUCUCAGGAACGCGCCGUCCCGGCGAGCGCGGUUCCCCUGGAGGAGUUAAGUAGCUGGUCGGAGGAGCUGUGCCGCCGGGAGCUGCCGUCCGUCCUGCCGCGGCUCCUCUCCAUGUAUCAACAUUCCGACAAUUGGAUCGAGCAUAUCCAAAUUCUGAAAAUUAUCGUAGAAAUGUUUUUACCUCAUAUGAACCACCUGACAUUGGAACAGACUUUCUUUUCCCAAGUGCUGCCAAAGACUGUGAAACUAUUUGAUGACAUGAUGUAUGAGUUAACCAGUCAAGCCAGAGAACUAUCAAGCCAAAACUUAGAAAUCCAGACCACUCUAAGGAAUAUUUUACAAACAAUAGUGCAGGUUGUGGGAGCUCUUACAGGAUGUGUUCAGCAUGUCUGUGCCACACAGGAAUCCAUCAUUCUAGAAAAUAUUCAUAGUCUCCCCUCCUCAGUCCUGCAUGUCAUCAAAAGUACCUUUGAACAUUGUAAGAAUAGUGAAUCUGUGUAUUCUGGGCACUUACACAUCGUUUCAGACCUUCUCCAGGCUCUUUUCAAGGAGGCCUAUUCUCUUCAAAAACAGCUAAUGGAACUGCUGGGUAUGGUCUGCAUGGACCCUUUAGUAGAUGAGAAUGAUGACAUUUUGAAUAUGGUAAUGGUUAUUCAUUCAUUGUUGGAUAUCUGCUCUGUUAUUUCCAGUAUGGACCAUGCAUUUCAUGCCAAUACUUGGAAAUUUAUAAUUAAGCAGAGUCUGAAGCACCAAUCAGUUAUAAAGAGUCAGCUGAAACACAAAGAUAUAAUCACUAACUUGUGUGAAAACAUUCUUGUUUCCUUCCAAUCUUGUUUACAGUUCGCUGAGCAGGUGACCCAGUCAGAUACCCAGGAUAAUGCUGACUACAGAUUAUUUCAGAAAACACUCAAAUUGUGUCGUUUCUUUGCCAACUCUCUUUUGCACUAUAGUAAGGAAUUUCUUCCUUUCCUCUCUGAUUCUUGCUGUACAUUGCACCAGCUUUAUCUUCAGAUACACAGCAAGUUUCCCCCAAGCCUGUAUGCUGCCGGGAUUCCUAAAGCCCAGCAGGAGGAAAUAGCGGGUACUUUCCUGGUUACACUGGAUCCACUUGUCAGUCAGCUUCUCUCCUUCCAACCUUUUGUGCACGUGGUUUUGGACAGUAAAUUAGAGCUGCCAUGUGAACUACAGUUUCCACAGUGUCUGCUGCUGGUUGUCAUCAUGGAUAAGCUGCCCUCUCAGCCCCAGGACGUGCAGACCCUAUGGUGCACAGAAAGCCAGGGCUCAGGAGCUCCAGCCAGGGUGUCUCUUCUCAAAGCCGUUUUCGAUAGCUUUGAGCAGUGUUCCGGUGAACUCUCUCUGCCUGUUCAUUUACAGGCAGUGACGAGUGAGGGGCAGGCCCGGGUUGCAGUCACCUUGUAUCAGCACGUCUGUGUUCACCUGUGUACCUUUAUUGCUUCCUUUCAUCCCUCACUCUUUCCUGAACUGGACUCUGCUCUGUUGGCUGCUGUGCUGAGAGCGAACAUGAUCACCUCCUUGUUAGCUAUGGACGCGUGGUGCUUCCUUGCUCGAUAUGGGACUGCCGAGCUCUGUGCACACCACGUCACCGUAGUUGCUCAUCUGAUAAAGUCUUGUCCUGGAGAAUGUUACCAGCUCACCAACCUGUCCGUGCUGUUGAGGCGUCUCUUCUUCUUCAUGGCUCCACCCCAACAGAUGGAGUUUAUCCAGAAAUUUCCCCCCAAAGAAGCAGAAAAUCUGCCUGUGUGGCAGUACAUUUCCUUCCAGGCGUUACCUGCUGGGCUGAGGAGAGAAACUGCCCAGGAGGUCUGCAGAGUGGGUGCCGCCCAGUGCAGGAGGUGGCUAAGCAGCGGCCACACGGUGGCAGAACUGGAAUCUCUGAACACGGUGCUGUCUGCUCUGCUUGCUGUGUGUCAUUCUGCUAGAGACGCUCUGGAUAUUGGACAAGAAGCUGCAGUCGUGGAAGCCGGGAGUCAGCUUUGGGCUUUUCUGAACACUAACCUGGUAACAAGUCAAACUUGUGUUCAGCAGACUCUCAGCCUUCUAUUUCCACUGUUGGGAUUUUUUAUUCAAACUCUAGAUCCUGAGGUGAUAAGUCAGGUGGUAACUUUGCAGGCCUCACUCCUUAAGUUCGAGCCUCCUGACCACGUUCGCUUGGCAGUGCUGGAUUUUGUGUCUUCUCUAGGAAAACUUGUUAUAUCUCCGGAUAUCCAGGACAAAAUUCUGCCCAACCUGUCGUCUGUUUUUGCCUCGCUGCUGGCUGACAGGAACUGGCUACUGGAACAACACGCCUUGGAGGCAUUUACUCAGUUUGCCGAGGGAACGAAUCAUGAAGAGAUAGUCCCCCAGUGUCUCAGUUCUGAAGAGGCUAAGAACAAAGUCGUGUCCUUUCUGGAGAAGACGGGGUUUGUAGAUGAGACUGCAGCUGCCAGAGUGGAACGUGUGAAACAGGAAAAGGGGAUUUUCUGGGAAUCCUUGGCUAAAGUGACGUUAGAAGAAGCAAAGUGGUCAUGUUUACAGUAGUGUGAAUGAGCCCGCCAGAAUUGAUUACGGCCCCCUUGGGAAGACCGUGAGUACAGAAGGGAUGUGUUGGCCCUCACCCCUCCCACUGCUGUGAUGCUAGAAAGUGGGGAUUUGCUGACCUGGCUCCAGAAGCAUCUGCAAGAGCACAGCUCUCAGCAGUUACAAACGGAGCACGAUUCAUACUUGGGCUUCUCGUAAGGACGUAUUACAGGCUAUGUCUAAAGAGUACUCCCUGCAAAUCACUGCAGGGACAGCACUGCUUCUGACCUUGGCCACUACUGGUGUUUGCUCGCUGAAUCACUGACAAACAAACCAAAAAUGCCUUCACGUAUUUUUCCAGCCGUACGCAAAGAGAGCCCGUGUGGAGUGCCCCGUGGAGGAGGAGUACAGGGCAGCAG